rnacentral:rRNA from 1 species
AUUGAACGCUGGCGGAAUGCUUUACACAUGCAAGUCGAGCGGCAGCGCGGGGGCAACCCUGGCGGCGAGCGGCGAACGGGUGAGUAAUAUAUCGGAACGUACCCCGUCGUGGGGGAUAACACAGCGAAAGCUGUGCUAAUACCGCAUACGACCUGAGGGUGAAAGCGGGGGAUCGCAAGACCUCGCGCGAUGGGAGCGGCCGAUAUCGGAUUCGCUUGUUGGUGAGGUAAAGGCUCACCAAGGCGACGAUCCGUAGCUGGUCUGAGAGGACGACCAGCCACACUGGAACUGAGACACGGUCCAGACUCCUACGGGAGGCAGCAGUGGGGGAAUUUUGGGACAAUGGGGGGCAACCCUGAUCCAGCCAUUCCGCGUGAGUGAAGAAGGCC